UACGUAGGGGGCAAGCGUUGUCCGGAUUCAUUGGGCGUAAAGAGCGUGUAGGCGGCCAGGUAGGUCGGUUGUGAAAACUGGAGGCUCAACCUUCAGACGUCGACCGAAACCAUCUGGCUAGAGUCCGGGAGAGGAGAGUGGAAUUCCUGGUGUAGCGGUGAAAUGCGCAGAUAUCAGGAAGAACACCCGUUGCGAAAGCGGCUCUCUGGAACGGUACUGACGCUGAGACGCGAAAGCGUGGGGAGCGGACAGG
rnacentral:rRNA from 1 species